CCUCCUGGUGCAAGCGUUACUCGGAAUUACUGGGCGUAAAGGGUGCGUAGGUGGUUUUUUAAGUCUGCUGUGAAAUCCCCGGGCUCAACCUGGGAAUGGCGAUGGAUACUGGGCAGCUAGAGUGUGUCAGAGGAUGGUGGAAUUCCCGGUGUAGCGGUGAAAUGCGUAGAGAUCGGGAGGAACAUCAGUGGCGAAGGCGGCCAUCUGGGACAACACUGACGCUGAAGCACGAAAGCGUGGGGAGCAAACAGGA
rnacentral:rRNA from 1 species